UGAAACGCGAUGAAGGAAGCUAGUAGCUUGAUGCUCUUCAAAAGAGAGCCGGUGGGUGGUGCGAACCGGUGUGGACAUUAGGUGAAUCCGUUCUGGAGCGGGAUGCUGAACAACAAAAGUAGGCAUUGACCGGCGCAGGCCGUUAAAACGUUGUUUUGAGAGGAAAGCAGUGAGUUAUGCUUUCAAUCAGGGUGGUAACGCGGAAUCGAACUUCCGUCCCUUUU
rnacentral:ncRNA from 1 species